GAUGCCCCCAGUAGCGGCGAGCGAACGGGGAGCAGCCCAGAGCCUGAAUCAGUGUGUGUGUUAGUGGAAGCGUCUGGAAAGGCGUGCGAUACAGGGUGACAGCCCCGUACACAAAAAUGCACAUGCUGUGAGCUCGAUGAGUAGGGCGGGACACGUGGUAUCCUGUCUGAAUAUGGGGGGACCAUCCUCCAAGGCUAAAUACUCCUGACUGACCGAUAGUGAACCAGUACCGUGAGGGAAAGGCGAAAAGAACCCCGGCGAGGGGAGUGAAAAAGAACCUGAAACCGUGUACGUACAAGCAGUGGGAGCACGCUUAGGCGUGUGACUGCGUACCUUUUGUAUAAUGGGUCAGCGACUUAUAUUCUGUAGCAAGGUUAACCGAAUAGGGGAGCCGAAGGGAAACCGAGUCUUAACUGGGCGUUAAGUUGCAGGGUAUAGACCCGAAACCCGGUGAUCUAGCCAUGGGCAGGUUGAAGGUUGGGUAACACUAACUGGAGGACCGAACCGACUAAUGUUGAAAAAUUAGCGGAUGACUUGUGGCUGGGGGUGAAAGGCCAAUCAAACCGGGAGAUAGCUGGUUCUCCCCGAAAGCUAUUUAGGUAGCGCCUCGUGAAUUCAUCUCCGGGGGUAGAGCACUGUUUCGGCAAGGGGGUCAUCCCGACUUACCAACCCGAUGCAAACUGCGAAUACCGGAGAAUGUUAUCACGGGAGACACACGGCGGGUGCUAACGUCCGUCGUGAAGAGGGAAACAACCCAGACCGCCAGCUAAGGUCCCAAAGUCAUGGUUAAGUGGGAAACGAUGUGGGAAGGCCCAGACAGCCAGGAUGUUGGCUUAGAAGCAGCCAUCAUUUAAAGAAAGCGUAAUAGCUCACUGGUCGAGUCGGCCUGCGCGGAAGAUGUAACGGGGCUAAACCAUGCACCGAAGCUGCGGCAGCGACGCUUAUGCGUUGUUGGGUAGGGGAGCGUUCUGUAAGCCUGUGAAGGUGUACUGUGAGGUAUGCUGGAGGUAUCAGAAGUGCGAAUGCUGACAUAAGUAACGAUAAAGCGGGUGAAAAGCCCGCUCGCCGGAAGACCAAGGGUUCCUGUCCAACGUUAAUCGGGGCAGGGUGAGUCGACCCCUAAGGCGAGGCCGAAAGGCGUAGUCGAUGGGAAACAGGUUAAUAUUCCUGUACUUGGUGUUACUGCGAAGGGGGGACGGAGAAGGCUAUGUUGGCCGGGCGACGGUUGUCCCGGUUUAAGCGUGUAGGCUGGUUUUCCAGGCAAAUCCGGAAAAUCAAGGCUGAGGCGUGAUGACGAGGCACUACGGUGCUGAAGCAACAAAUGCCCUGCUUCCAGGAAAAGCCUCUAAGCAUCAGGUAACAUCAAAUCGUACCCCAAACCGACACAGGUGGUCAGGUAGAGAAUACCAAGGCGCUUGAGAGAACUCGGGUGAAGGAACUAGGCAAAAUGGUGCCGUAACUUCGGGAGAAGGCACGCUGAUAUGUAGGUGAAGUCCCUCGCGGAUGGAGCUGAAAUCAGUCGAAGAUACCAGCUGGCUGCAACUGUUUAUUAAAAACACAGCACUGUGCAAACACGAAAGUGGACGUAUACGGUGUGACGCCUGCCCGGUGCCGGAAGGUUAAUUGAUGGGGUUAGCGCAAGCGAAGCUCUUGAUCGAAGCCCCGGUAAACGGCGGCCGUAACUAUAACGGUCCUAAGGUAGCGAAAUUCCUUGUCGGGUAAGUUCCGACCUGCACGAAUGGCGUAAUGAUGGCCAGGCUGUCUCCACCCGAGACUCAGUGAAAUUGAACUCGCUGUGAAGAUGCAGUGUACCCGCGGCAAGACGGAAAGACCCCGUGAACCUUUACUAUAGCUUGACACUGAACAUUGAGCCUUGAUGUGUAGGAUAGGUGGGAGGCUUUGAAGUGUGGACGCCAGUCUGCAUGGAGCCGACCUUGAAAUACCACCCUUUAAUGUUUGAUGUUCUAACGUUGACCCGUAAUCCGGGUUGCGGACAGUGUCUGGUGGGUAGUUUGACUGGGGCGGUCUCCUCCUAAAGAGUAACGGAGGAGCACGAAGGUUGGCUAAUCCUGGUCGGACAUCAGGAGGUUAGUGCAAUGGCAUAAGCCAGCUUGACUGCGAGCGUGACGGCGCGAGCAGGUGCGAAAGCAGGUCAUAGUGAUCCGGUGGUUCUGAAUGGAAGGGCCAUCGCUCAACGGAUAAAAGGUACUCCGGGGAUAACAGGCUGAUACCGCCCAAGAGUUCAUAUCGACGGCGGUGUUUGGCACCUCGAUGUCGGCUCAUCACAUCCUGGGGCUGAAGUAGGUCCCAAGGGUAUGGCUGUUCGCCAUUUAAAGUGGUACGCGAGCUGGGUUUAGAACGUCGUGAGACAGUUCGGUCCCUAUCUGCCGUGGGCGCUGGAGAACUGAGGGGGGCUGCUCCUAGUACGAGAGGACCGGAGUGGACGCAUCACUGGUGUUCGGGUUGUCAUGCCAAUGGCACUGCCCGGUAGCUAAAUGCGGAAGAGAUAAGUGCUGAAAGCAUCUAAGCACGAAACUUGCCCCGAGAUGAGUUCUCCCUGACUCCUUGAGAGUCCUGAAGGAACGUUGAAGACGACGACGUUGAUAGGCCGGGUGUGUAAGCGCAGCGAUGCGUUGAGCUAACCGGUACUAAUGAACCGUGAGGCUUAACCUUACAACGCCGAAG
rnacentral:rRNA from 1 species